rnacentral:rRNA from 1 species
GAGACAGCAGUAGCCACGGUAAUACGGAGGGGGCUAGCGUUGUUCGGAUUUACUGGGCGUAAAGGGCGCGUAGGCGGACUGAUAAGUCAGGGGUGAAAUCCCAAGGCUCAACCUUGGAACUGCCUUUGAUACUGUUUGUCUUGAGUUCGAGAGAGGUAAGUGGAACUGCGAGUGUAGAGGUGAAAUUCGUAGAUAUUCGCAAGAACACCAGUGGCGAAGGCGGCUUACUGGCUCGAAACUGACGCUGAGGCGCGAAAGCGUGGGGAGCAAACAGGAUUAGAGACCCCCGUAGUCCCUGUCUCUUAUAC